AACGAACGCUGGCGGCAGGCCUAACACAUGCAAGUCGAGCGAAGCCUUCGGGCUUAGCGGCGGACGGGUGAGUAACGCGUGGGAACGUGCCCUUUGCUACGGAAUAGCCCCGGGAAACUGGGAGUAAUACCGUAUGUGCCCUUCGGGGGAAAGAUUUAUCGGCAAAGGAUCAGCCCGCGUUGGAUUAGGUAGUUGGUGGGGUAAUGGCCUACCAAGCCGACGAUCCAUAGCUGGUUUGAGAGGAUGAUCAGCCACACUGGGACUGAGACACGGCCCAGACUCCUACGGGAGGCAGCAGUGGGGAAUCUUAGACAAUGGGGGAAACCCUGAUCUAGCCAUGCCGCGUGAUCGAUGAAGGCCUUAGGGUUGUAAAGAUCUUUCAGUGGGGAAGAUAAUGACUGUACCCACAGAAGAAGCCCCGGCUAACUCCGUGCCAGCCGCCGCUGUAAUAC
rnacentral:rRNA from 1 species